GGGGCUGUAGCUCAGUUGGGAGAGCGCCUGCCUUGCAAGCAGGAGGUCAUCGGUUCGAUCCCGUUCAGCUCCACCA
rnacentral:tRNA from 52 species